CACACCUAAUAACACCUGUAGGAACGCCAUGAUAAGAGUGUUGAACUUGAAUCCUAAGAUCUAGGUUAAAUGCCAGCUCUAUUACAUAUCAACUGGUUGACUCACUUAAGCCUUCUGGGCUGAAGUUGCUGUAAAGCAAAGAGGCCAGGCUGGUCACUGAGACUCCUUCCAGCCCUUACUCUCUAAUUCUGUGACUUGUAAAUCUGCAUUUCUUUAUUUAAUUCAAAUCUUGCUUACUUGAAAAGGAAAUUUUUUUUUCUAAAUCAGUAUGAUUUUCUACCCAUCGUUUCUGGUGCGUGCAUGAUCAUACGAUGCCUUGGAUUUUUUCACUCAGGCAAAAUGGCUUCAUCAAGUGAAAUCGCUUAGCAAACUUUUUUUUUUUCUAACUUCAUUCUAAAGUAAUACAGAUAAGCCUUGUGGCAGAUUCCAUUCCUCUAGUUACGUGACCUGCUUAGAAAAGACCUCUUUAUCACUCUCACCGAACUAUUAGUAAUAUUUCAAACUAUCAUGAUGUCCAAACAUUGUGAUUAACUAGAAGCAAGCAGUAAUCAAGAAGCAUGGUUUAGAAACCAUGGUUUUGCUCAUAGGUGGAUUCUUUCUGACACUUGAUUUUUCUUUUAUUGUGUUAAUAUUUUACUUGCACUUGAAUGAAGUAUUUGCCUUGUAUGUCACAAAUGUUGUAAUUUGAUCCUCGUAUUCUGAAAAUUGCCUUUUUGCUUAAUUCCAGCCUAUGGAUAAUGUGACACUGUGGUACAAGCUGUUUUCCUCCUCUUUCUCUUCCUCCUCCUCCUUCUCUUCUUCCUAAUCCCCUCCUCCUCCCUCUUUGCCCUCCUUUUCCACCUUCUUUUUCCUUCUUUCAUCCUUCUUUCCUUCUCCAAUAAAAUUGAACUUGAUGCUCCCUAUAAUUGAUGCUUGUUACUCAAUUGGAAAAAAUGAAAAUACUUUGAGGAAUUGUGGGGAUUUUUGGGUAGGAAACUCGAAGUGAUUUUGUUCCAACGAGAUAUUUAUAGUUUUCACUUUCACUGGGGGAGGAAAACAUUAUGAAAUUAAGUGAUUUGAAGAUUAUACUGAAAAGACAGUUUAUUACUUUCUGCAUCUGUUUAACAGAUUGCACCGAUUAAUGUCUUUGAAUCAUGUGGUAUGUAGUGAACACAACAUGAGGAGUGUGUUUAAGCCUGUGUUAAAGGUUUAUAAACAAGGUGGUGCCAUGUGCUUUGGCAAAUCUGUGUGGACGUUGGCUUCUAUGAUACUGUUGCAAUGGAUUUACUGCUCUGUUUGAUAACAGACAGGCUGGCAGCCAAUCAGUGGCAAGACCCUACUAGUCACAGGCAGAGGAUACAGUUUCCUUUAAAGUAAGUAAAUGAUGCUAAACUUACCUGUAUAUGACUCUUCAGUGUGGGGGUGCCCCCGGGUGGGGUUACACAUUUUCUGGCCCUGAAGGCUCAUAAGAUUUUUCAACUGCUUGUGAUACUGUCUCAUGGGGGUGGGAAUAUUGUCAGAUUUUUUUUUUUUUUUUUUUUUUUUAAUGGGAGGAUUUAGGAUGUCUCUUUCCAAUUGCUCUGGAGACUAGGUAUAUGCAUGGCUACUCCUUAUGUGUAACUGGUAACAAUCCUAGGAUCAUUUGUGAAUGUGCUGUAAGAUUGGGUGAGUUGAAGUUCAGUUUCUGAGGUAUAGCCUCCCCUGGACAGUCCAGGUCACACACCCUCCCAAGGUCUCUUCUUGUCUACCCUCUAUGACAGAUUUACAAAAAGUGUGAUUAUUUUUGCAAAUAAUUAAGGUUUGCAAAUGAAACUACCUAAGAAGCUGGAAUGUUUUUAAUUUUAUAUGUCACCUUGGCUAAGCCAUGAUACCCAGAUAUUUGGUUAAAUAGUAUUCGAAAUAUUUCUGUGAAGUUUUUUUAAGAUGAGAUUAACAUUUACAUUAGUAGAUUUUUAGUAAAACAGAUUACCCUCCAGAAUGUGAGUGGUUUUCAUCCAGUCAGUUAAAGGCUUUAAUUAAAAAAAAAAGAAACCUAUGUGGAAGAGGAGGGAAAUCUGCCAGUGGACAGGCUUUGGCCUUGAGCUGCAGCUCUUCCCUGAGUCUCCAGUCUGCUGGCCUGGCCAGCAGAUUUUGAAGUUGCCCAGCCUUUCCAGUAGUGUGAGCCAAUUCCUGAAAACAGAUCUCUCUCUCUCUAGCUGUAGACGUCGUGGGGGUCCUGUUUCUCUGGAGAAUUCUGACUCAUGCAGAUGCCUUAAUCAUAGGAGCACAUUUUGGCAUUCUUCAAUGGAAGUAGAUAAAAUCUUCCAUUUGCAGUCCUGCAUUACAUUUUCUAAUAAAAACGUAAUUUAGAACAUAAGGGUUUGGGGCAGCUUUUUGUAGAGAAUAGAAGAGUGCAUGGGAAGUCUUCAAUGAUCAUAACCAUCUGUGAAUGAAUAUUGAAUGCAAAGGCUACAAUUAGUCUGGGGUGAUAGUCCCUGCACCCCGCCCCAGCAGUGUACAGGGUAUAAGAACCAUUCAUCUAAUCCUCUAAAGAGAGGGCAUAUGGCUUGCUGAGUUAUGGUGAUGAUUAAGUAAAAAGCUUCUUAAAACAUUGACUUUGGAACAUCACUCUUUUUUGCAUAUUUCAGUAGCAUUUUUUAUUUCCCACAUACUCCUUUUGUUUAUUGCUUGGAUGUGGGGGAAAAGCACCCUUCUCAUUUAAGAAGACUUACUGGAAAGAUCAAUUUCCAUGUCGUUGCCUGAAAUUUAGCAACAUUCUAGCCGGAGUCACAAGAGAGGCUGGGAAGUAAGGUCUUCUGGCUGGGCACACUGACACGCCAAAUAAAAUCGGGUUCAGGUGCCCAGGAGAAAGGGGAAGUGAAUGUUGGAUCAGACACCUAUCAGUCUGCCUAGAGGUGCUUAUCUUUGUUACUGGUAUUUAAAAUCUCAGUCUGUGGAAAAGCAUUUUGUCUGGUUAUUUUCAGUGCUGCUUUAUGAAAUCUGGCAGACCUGACUUCUCAUUGUUUUCAGGGGAACCCUCCCCCAACAUACUCACACUUAAAAUUACUAGAAAAUGUGGGAGCCGGUAGGGAUCUUAGACAUAAUCUGGCACAGUAUCUUCAUUUCGCAGAUGAAACUAAAGCCCAGAGAGGCGAGGGACUUAAGUGGAAGUUAUAAUGCUCAGGAAAGACUUCUUGGGAGCAGGAAGUUGGUUGGCUUAGCCUAUUUCUAUACCCCCCUAAUCCCUGUCAUUUCAAGUUCAAUCAAAGUCAGAAAGCUCUCCAGCCCUUUAGGGCUGCAUUUGUUUGUUUUCAUAAAACUAAACUGUAUAAAUACCUGCCAUUUGGGAGUCAGCAAGCCCAAGGAAAAGGUUGCAAAUUUCUUGCAGUACCACUCACACUAUUUAUUUUUAGCAGCAAAAGGAUCAUUCUCAUUCUUAGCAUCUUGAAAUAAUAAGAGCCCACAUCUAUUGAGAAUUAGUUUGUAAGCUUCAUGGAAGUAGGGAUCAAGUUUGAUUUUCCGCAUCACUGUAUCCGUAGUGCCUAGCCCAGUCUUUCAUGUGCAUUCUAUAAAACAACAAAUAAAUAGCUGUUGGAUGAGAGGAUGUAGUGUUUACGAGGUGGCAGACACUGUGUUAAGCACUUUUCAUGAGUUAUCUCAUUCCAUCUUCAUAACUAUCCCAUGAGCUAGGUAAUCUCUGGAACUUAAAUUUGAAAAUGUGCCCAAAGAUACAAACAUAGUGAGUGUUAGGACCUGGACUAGUCUGUCUGACUCCAUCCUGAAUUACCAGGGAGGCUGGAGGUUUCGAGGUUGCCACUGAUUAUCAUCUGAAAUGUAUAAAACUACUCUUAGAUUAAACAUGGGGAAUUUUAAAAUCCUGACUAGCUGACAUGUUAUCUGGCAUUAAAGAUAAGUGGCUUAGUCUUUUAAAAAAUGGAAGUCUAAGAACAGACUGAACUGUUGGGUGAGCUAAAGAUGGUUGGGGACUUUGGGGGGCAUGGGAUGAGGUUGGGUGGAGAAUAGGUAUGCAGUAAAAUUUCUACGCUGUCUUGUUUGAGACUUGAGCCAUAUGUUGUUCAGUUUGAAAAUGCCAUCCUGUGGUGUAUUACUUCUAGAUUGUGGAUGAGAGGCAUUGAAGUCCUACUCUCAGGAUUGAUUCCCACGAUGCUAAAUCUUUUUCAGAGGAAAUGGUGCGUUUGUGUAGGAGCAGAGACCAGUGAGCUACAAGAACUGACUCUGUGUUUUCUAUGCCUCAGGCACUGCUCUUCCACCAUGUUGGACAGAAUUUUUGUAUUUUUGUGUAUAGGUUUUUUUUUUUUUUUUUUUGCCACAGGCCUUUCUAAUGCCAGCAGCCUAUGUUGGGUGGUGAGGUUGUCAUCCUGUUCCCAGACCCCCACAGAGAGGCCUAAGCCAUUGCGUCUGGAACAGAAUCCUUAAAGCAGACCCACAGGACUGACUUAGUCGAGGGCUCAAGUCUUUGAGUGGAUGUGGCCACAUUCCUUUAAAGGUUUUGUUUCUUUCCUCCCUUCAUAUUUCUAGAGCCUGUUUGUUCUCGACUGUGGGUGCACAUUAGAAUCAUCUCAGGUGACCUAACAUCCUAACGCCCAGGUUCUACCCCAAAGGGUCUGAUUUAAUUAGUUUGGAGAGGGGUCCAGACAUUGGCAUUGAUUUUAGAAGCAUUUCAGGUGGUUCUGAUGUGUAGUCGGGGCUGAGAGUGAUUCUUACAGCCUCACAGGGCUCUUGGCCCCAUGACCGUUGGUUUUCAUUGCCUUCCUCCCCAUCCUGCAUUCUGACUCAUGUAGCAUGGGGGCUUCUGCUCAUAUUGGAUGACAUUUAUAAGGACUGUCAAAGACUGUGCAUUUGAUUGGGGUAAGGAGGGCAGGGCAGGGAAGGCUUCCGAGAAAAUCACAGAGUGCAGUUUAUGUAACAAUAGAUAAUUUUUCCUUUAAAUCAAAAAUUAAUGAAUAAACUUAGGGAAAGAAAUAAUAAGAAUCAAACAAAUGUGAACUAGAAACAUUUUAUAGUUUUUCUGGAACCAGUAAAUCUGAACACAGAUUGUCUUCUAACAAGUGGAGAAAUUAGGCUUAAAUGAAUGCUUUUGUAAGAAAAGGCUUUAAUAAAACUGACUCAAGAGGAAU
rnacentral:lncRNA from 1 species